CGGAAAUUUGCUAUGAAGGAGACGGGAACCCCAGAUGUGCGCAUCGACACCAGGCUCAACAAAGUUGUCUGGCCCAAAGGAACAAGGAAUGUUCCAUACCAUAUCCAUGUGCGCUGUCACUUUUACACAU